UACGUAGGGUGCGAGCGUUGUCCGGAAUUACUGGGCGUAAGAGCUCGUAGGUGGUUGUCGCGUUGUUCGUGAAACUCACAGCUCAACUGUGGGCGUGCGGGCGAUACGGGCAGACUGGAGUACUGCAGGGGAGACUGGAAUUCCUGGUGUAGCGGUGGAAUGCGCAGAUAUCAGGAGGAACACCGGUGGCGAAGGCGGUUCUCCGGGCCUUACCUGACGCUGAGGAGCGAAAGCGUGGGAGCGA
rnacentral:rRNA from 1 species